GACGAACGCUGGCGGCGUGCUUAACACAUGCAAGUCGAACGGAAAGGCCCUGCUUUUGUGGGGUGCUCGAGUGGCGAACGGGUGAGUAACACGUGAGUAACCUGCCCUUGACUUUGGGAUAACUUCAGGAAACUGGGGCUAAUAACGGAUAGGAGCUCCUGCUGCCUGGUGGGGGUUGGAUAGUUUGGGCGGUUGGGGAUGGACUCGCGGCUUAUCAGCUUGUUGGUGGGGUAGUGGCUUACCAAGGCUUUGACGGGUGGCCGGCCUGAGAGGGUGACCGGCCACAUUGGGACUGAGAUACGGCCCAGACUCCUACGGGAGGCAGCAGUGGGGAAUAUUGCACAAUGGGCGGAAGCCUGAUGCAGCAACGCCGCGUGCGGGAUGACGGCCUUCGGGUUGUAAACCGCUUUCGCCUGUGACGAAGCGUGAGUGACGGUAAUGGGUAAAGAAGCACCGGCUAACUACGUGCCAGCCGCCGCGGUAA
rnacentral:rRNA from 1 species